UUUUUUUUUUUUUUUUUUUUUUUUUUAGGGCCACAUCUGCAGCAUAUGGAGGUUCCCAGGCUAGGGGUUGAAUAGGAGCUGCAGCGCCGGCCUAUACCAGAGCCACAGCACCACGAGAUCUGAGCUGCGUCUGUGACCUACACCACAGCUCACGGCAACACCAGAUCCCUAACUCACUGAGCGAGGCCAGGGGUUGAACCAGCAUCCUCAUGGAUGCUAGUCAGGUUAUUAACCACUGAGCCACAAUGGGAAUUCCCCUAGUCGGUUUCUUACCCCACUGAGCCACAACAGAAACUCCUGGGAGCACAUUUUGAGAACCACUGGGAAGCAGAUUAGUUUUGCUGAGACCCUGAAGACUGCACACUGCUUUCAGUCUCACCGAGAUGUGGCACCAAGUCCAGUUUCUUGCACAUAAGCACAUUCUUCCACUCAGGUGUGGCCACAUGGCAAAGGGGCCUGAACAGAAAAGUUUUCUGGGGUUGAAGUUCCUUAAUGGUUUCCUAGGCUUUUCAAUUCAGAGUCCCCACAGAAAUGCACCUGACCUGCCUUUGGGUUGGCUGAGAACCAGCAGGUAGCAGAGCCUCUGGGAAAGGGACAAGCUGGAACAGAAGAGAGAGGUUGUUAAUGGGGAAGAAUGGUGGUAUUGACGGCUUGUGGGAUUCUUAGCCCUCUGUGCCACGGCGGGAACUCUUUUUUUUUUUUUUUUAAAUUUUAUUAGGGUGUAGUCGAUUUACAGUGUUGUAUUAGCUUCAGGUUCACAGCAAAGUGAAUCACUUAUACACACACACAUAUCUGUUCUUUUCCCACCUAGGUUAUUACAGAACAUUGAGUAGCCUUCCCUCUGUUUUCCCCUGAGGUCCCAUCCUCUACCGAGAUGGACAUGAAGGAGCACUGCCCACAGCUUCCUUCAGGGAGGAUCUGCUGCCCAACCUGCAUGCUGUUGGCAUAAAGCCAUCUCCAGGGACUCCCUCAGAUGCAGGUCAUCUUGCUGGGGUAGCAUGCAGCCAGUGAUGGGUGGAGGGAAACAUGUUAGGGUAUUUUGCCCUGUGCAGGGCACCUGUGCCCCACAAUGUUGGCCCCUCUCACUUCUGCCUCUUUCUCUCCUGCACAGGUAUGGGUUUCCAAGGCAGUGCCCUGGUGAACACCCUCCCCUGUGACCCCACCUCAGAGAGGGGGUCCUGAGGAUCCACCUGCCAUGUCCAUCCCUGGACCUCCCCCUCCUCUGUCUCAGACCUGCUGAGUUUAGAGACUGAAUACAAGUGCAGCUUUGUUUUCCUGCCAUUUGUCUUCCAUUCUCUAAGGACACUUUCUUACCUUACACUUCAUUUUUUUUUUUUUUCUGCUUUUAGGAGAAAGCCCUGUCGAGUCCCUUGGGUUGUUUCUGAGAGCGGGUGACACAGCCAGCCCUUUCCUCCUGGCAUGCUACCUCACAGAUUCUCAUCUCUGGGUGAGGUGACACGGGCAUGGCUGUGAUCACAAUGUAGGUGGCAAGAGCAAAGCAAGGGGUGCAAGCUGAAAGUUCACCAGACUUGACUGUUGACAUAAAUAUAUUCACAUGUGUUCAAAACACACCCCUGAAAAGAAUGAGGAUGCUCUUUUAAGCACUGAUUUGAAAUGAUCUCCAAUAUACAUUACUAUAUAAAAAAGUCAAGGUGCAGGGAGUUCCCUGGUGGGCUAGUGGUUAGGACUCGGCACUUUUAACCUUGUGAACAGGGUUCAACCCCCGGUUUAGGAAAUGAGAUCCCACACCAAGGUGCCACACGCUGGGACAAAAAAAAAAAAAAAAUCAAGGUGCAGAUCAGAGAGUGCAGUCCACUGCCAAUUGUGUGGGAAUAUGUGUUAAGUAUAUACUCACAUAGCCAGAAAAGGCAGCUGGAGCUGCAAACUUGCUGCCUGCGGGUGGGGUAGAGGCUGGGAACCUGUAGGACAGCGGAGGAAGGAAGAUGUUUUCAUGGCUUUCUUUCUAUCGUUGCAGAAUUUUGAAUUGUGUGGGUUUUGUACUAUGUGCUCUCUUAGCUUAUUCAAGAAAUAAAUCUACAGCAGUUCCCAUUGUGGCGGAGUGGAAACGGAUCUGACUAGGAACCAUGAGGUUGCAGGUACGAUCCCUGGCCUCGCUCAGUGGGUUAAGGAUCUGGUGUUGCUGUGGCUGUGGUGCAGGCUGGCAGCUGUAGCUCUGAUUCAACCCCUAGCCUGGGAACCUCCAUAUGAUGCAGGUGCGGCCCUAAAAAAAAUAAAAGAAAGAUCUAGGAGUUCCCUGGUGGCUCAGUGGGUUGAGGACCUGGCGUUGUUGCUGUUGUGGCUAGGGUCACUGUUGUGACGUGGGUUCAGUCCCCGGCCUGGGAACUUCUGCAUGCCACAGACAUGACCACAAGAAAGGAAGGGAAGGAAGGAAGGAAGGAAGAAGGGAGGGAGGUGGGGAGGGAUCUAACCCAUCCAUGACAAGCUGUAGUGGAGAUUACACUUCUUUGGAGAAUGGCAGGGAAUGAGUGCCUUUGGUGGCCUGGGGGUGCUGGGUGGGGGCUGGCAUGCACUUCAUGGGUGGUAGCUCUGAGUGGGCUCUGGAGGUAGUGGCUGGCAGAGCAGGCAAGGGGUCUAGGUCAGAGUCUGCUGGGACUGAGCCUGGCAUGGAAGCAGGGGACCGAGGGUUCCCUCCCCUCCCUAGACACCCCGCUUUGCCCCACUGCUCAGAACGGAACCUAGCUAAGGCACCCUGGGCAGACCAGUCCUUUCUGCAGCAGCUCCAGUCCCAGGGCUCUGGUUGCACUGCCAGGAAGUGGACCAGCUUCCUUUUGGUCUGACUGAGUCUCUGGGGGUCUUGAAUGAUUGAGGACACAGGGCGAAGGUGGCCCAAGGUUGUGGAACUGGAUGUCUCGCUGACCCGGCCGGCUACUAGUGGUUUGGAACACGAACACACUCCACGCUGAUGGCUGCCAGAGCUGUCUGCACCUGGAGCCCCGAGUCUGAGCUUCACAUCGUGUCACUUGAGUCUGAGCUUCAUAUUGUGUCACUUGUGUCUGGGAUGCCUUUGUGUGGCUGUCUCACAGCAGCGACAACGUCUGUGUGUCCUGAACUAAACCUCGCCAACAUCACCCCCUCCAUUUUCUCCCCUCAGGUCUCUCUUGGUUAGGGCCAGAAGCCCUGCAUUGUUCCCAACCUCCCCCAUCUCGCCUUCAUUUUUUACAACUGCAAGUCACGCCUUUGCCCUGAGAGGAGCUGUGCUAGCUGGGGGACAAAUGCCAAGCCCCUGAGCCUUUCUUGCAGGUCCCUGUGACGUAAUGGGCCCUCUAUCUUCUCUCUCACCCAGCUCCUCACCCCUCCUCGGUCCCCGCUGUCCCCGCAGCCCUCAGCCCUCAGCCUUCAACCUGAGUUCUCAUCCCCUUCCCACCUAGGGGCUCCUCCUUGCCUUUACAUCUCCAGCAGCGGCUCUAUGGGUCCUUCUUGAUCUCCAGUCUGGGGUUGGGGCCCCUCCACCUGCUCCCUGGUCCCCCACUCUGCUACAAGCUUCUGCACAGCAGGGGUCACUCUGAAGGGUGCAUUCAGUCUCCUGGCCUUCUGGGAGCCCCCCAGGGCAAGAUGCAGUCGGAGCCCAGCGCUGUGCUGGAUGACAGGUGGGUCUCAACAGCGCUAAGUGGGUGCAGCCAAUGAUCCGCACCCCUCCUGCUGGUGGAAAGAAGCUGGGAGGGGCCUGAACUCCACCACCCGCCCCUCAACCCAGCCCAGCGCUCACUGCAGGCGGCUCUGCUGUGGACUCUCGGACAAGGAGGUGGAAAUGCCCGGUAAAAGCACUCUUUCAGGUUUCUAAGGUCCCCCCCGCUUUUUUUUUUAAAACCCUUUCAAGGGGCUUUCCCUGAAUUUCCCAAGCUUCUAACCGCUGUGAAAUUAAGGAAGAAAGUGAAUUGGCACUUACUGGGGUCCUGACCUUGAGACAAUUUCCUCUCUAGACUCGACAUUAAAAAUAACAAACCUCUAGGGUGGGGACCUAGAAUCCCAUUUCCUGGCCAAAUACAUCCUGUCCUAUUUCUGGGACUGAUCGCAGCACUAAUUAAGGAGGUAGUACAGCUGCCCUGCUCUCACACACCUGUCUCCUGCUGAUAGGACUGGCUACAGAAGGGAGACGAACUGUCUAAAAAUAAGCGGGUUGGAAUUCCCCUCAUCGAGCAGUGGAAAUGAAUCCUAGAGUACCCAUGACGAUGAGGUUUGAUCCCUGACUUUGCUCAGUGGGCCAGCGAUCUGGCGUUGCCAGAGCCAGAGCUGUGGUGUAGGUCGUAGAAGGGUCAGAUCCCCGGCUGCUGUGGCUGUGACCUGUAGCUGGGUAGCUGUAGCUCCGAUUGGACCCCUAGCAUGGGAACUUCCAAAUGCUGAGGGUUCGGCCCUAAAAAAAGAAACAAAAACAAAAAACAAAAAAACAGCGAGUCUACAAGCCCGUCCUCAAGGAAGUUGUAGGUUUCCUCUGGGCUUGAGUGGGAUGGAUACGAUGUGGAUAUCGGGGAGGAGGGGUGGUGGGGUGGGGAUUGGGAGGCAGAGGGGCAGAGUUCCCAUGGCCAGUGGCAGGGGUGGGGAUGGGGAUGAGGGGUGGGGGAGGCAGAAUUCCAGGGCUGGCCUGUCCUCCUCCACAGCCAGACUCCUCUGCUUGGCUCCAAGUUCCUGUCUCUGGGGUAAGAGGGCCUGGCACAAACAGAGGAAACAUUUUGAGGACCUACCGCCUUUCCUGGCCGCUCUGCCUCCUCAGCCAAGGCUGCAUCUCUGCAUGGGUGGGGAGGGUCCAAGGGGAGAGUCACUGAUGCCAGGAGAGAGGUUCUGCCUAUACCCUGGCUAGUUUAGACACAGAGACUCAUUUCUCUCUGCGCUGAGCAGCUGAGCUCAGGUUCUGAUGCAGGCCCCUGUCCUUGCUGUGAAGAAUCACCUUCUUAUCAUGCCCUCCCCUGGCAAAGAGAAGGGGAGAGGGUCUCAGGUAAGGGCACUAAACCCUCCUAAGGCCCCUCCCUGAUGUGAAAUAAAAGUCACAUUUUUAUGGUAAAACAAGAAAAAUGUAAACAUAGGAGUUCCCUUCAUGGCUCAGUGGUUAACAAAUCUGACCAGCAUCCAUGAGGACGCAGGUUCCAUCCCUGGCCUUGUUCAAUGGGUUAAGGAUCUGGCUUUGCCAUGAGCUGUGGUGUAUACCAGCAGCUGUAGCUCCAGUUUGACCCCUAGCCUGGGAAGCUCCAUAUGCAGCAGGUGCGGCCCUAAAAAAAAAAAAAAAGAUCAAAGUGUAAAUAUAAAAAUCCUUCUCUGCCCUUUGGCCUCCUCUCUCCCCUACUGUGCAUAUGUAUCUGCAUUUUGCAUCAGCCCCAGGAAUGGGCAGGAACACCUGAUUCACCAUCAAGAACAAUAUUCUCCCAGCAGCAACAAGUCAGCUCCUUAAAGACCACAUUCCUUCUUGAUCCUAGAAGGGGUCACAUGACCCACCAUGAUGACCCCUAGGUCUGGAUUAUGUGAACUGUUAAUAAUAUGUCAUUUAAUGUGCAGUCCUCUGUCUCAGAAGCUUAUAUAAGCUGUGUUUUGACUCCUAACCCAUGGAGCAGUACUCACAGCUUUCUGAGGUGCUCUUCC
ensembl:lncRNA